CAGGGAAUUUUGGGGGACACGUGACCAGGCCUGCCCUAUUGGGGAGGAGCACCCACUCCCACCAGCAUGACUGGUCAGGGUGGCACGGGGCCAGGGACGGCCAGCAUCCGGGCUAGGACUCCAGUACUCUUGACGCAGGUGGCUAGGCUGGCAGGAGGUGAGGUGGGAGCUGCCAGGCCCCUUUUGUCACCACGGGAGCUGCCGGUGCAUGAAGCCAUCCAGAGGCAGCCAAGAGAUGGCACCAGAGAUUCCUGGCGCCACAGCCCCUGGACUUGGCUGUGCCCGACGCCAGGGACAGGAGCCAAUAAAUCCCCAUGAGCCUUCGGGUCCUCGUCUGACAGUCAUGACCGCAGCAGCCGGGUGUGAGGGCAGGGCUGGGUAUUCGGAGACCUUCAGAAGCCUGGUCACGGAGGGCCUGCCCAGGGACCCCCCUGCCUCUCCCCCCAGGCCCCACGGCGGCAGAGACUCACAGGCAAAGAACUGCCAGGGCUGGUAGGUGCGGCCGAAGUCCAUGGACCGCUCCAGCACCCAGAGGUCCGGCCGGGCAGGUACGCCCGGGAACAGCUGGGUGCUGUUGGCCAGGUAGGCCUGGAAGCCUAGGGCCCCAAGGGGGAGAGUGGGGUCCCCCAGAGCUGCACAAGACCUACAGUCACCCCACUGGACUGAGCCGGACUGAGACUGCUGUGGGGUCCCCCAUGAAAAGACCACAGACCCCUCAUAGCUUCAGCCCUUGGGGGCACCAGCUGCCCAGACUCCAGGGGCCCUGGACAGCUGUCCUCGAGGGCCUGGUGGCUGCACAGAUGGUCACAGGAAGGGAAGCCCGCGCUGGAGGACUCCCAUCUGUCUCUGACCUGGUCGCGGCUCCCAGGGCCACACCGGCCGCCCUCGCCAUGACCCGGAGCGAGCGCAGACCCCUGGCUUCGGGACCGCCCUUCCCCCUCCACGCCCCGCUCAGCUCAGCUGCCAGUGCUGACCUUUCCGCUGCUACAUGGUUCUGUGCAGAAAGAAAAAAAAAAGUCUUUUAAAGCAAAAGCCAAACAAAAGCUGCCUGAGUUAUUUUUAAAAAUCGGCUAUUUUGGGGCAGGCACGUCUCCAGGACGGCAGCCGGACCCGCCUCUCAGCCACUGCACCCUCCAGUCCCCACUACCCAGCUUGCCCUGGGAGGGCCACGGUUCCCAGAGGAGGCCUCUGCCCGGUGACCACUGCCUCACAGGGGGUGGGCAAGAGCCCCAGGAGUACGGGGCCCAGGACCCAGGGCCCAGGCCGGCUCCAGGCUUCAGGGGUUGUGCGGCCCUGGAGCGGACACUUCCCCUUCCUGGGCACAGGGCAGUGGGAAGAGCUGCAGAGAGGGGCAUCAGGAUAAAAUGCCUUUCAUGAGGGCAUGAAGGUUUGAGCGCCCUGGGAGGGAGGACGCCAGCUGCUCCUGGAGGGCAGCAGCCACCCCGCAGAGACGCUGAGAGGCCCCCACUGGAGCUGCCCCACUCACUGGCGCUCCGAAGGCAAAGCUGCGGAGGGGACUGAG
rnacentral:lncRNA from 10 species